ensembl:lncRNA
GGGCCUGUGAGCAGGAGGGGGACCAGGCGGAGCUCCACGCCUCCGUGAGGUUAACCCCUUGGCAGAAGGCAGAAUGGAAGAGAGACUGACCACUGGUGGCUGCAGAUGCUCUGGUUACUAACAGCCACAAGUCAAGUCGACGUGAUCUGGAAGCCAGGAUCAGGUUGUCCUUCCAAACAGCAGUGUCUGCCGACAGUAAACUUCGGAUCAAAGCAGCAGGGCAAAAUGAACUGCCUCAGCCCCAUGGGUCACCGAAAUGAAACAGGAAAAGACAAAUAAAGGAAAAAGAAACAGCCUUCUCAGGCGAGUGGCAAAGGCAGCAGGACAGUGGAGGGACUGUCACGUGCAUGCCACGCCCUCCCCACAGGCUGUGUGUCGGCUCCGUCACAGCAGCUGCUGCCAGGAGCAUAGAGGAAAAUAGUGUCCAUGCUGGCUUUUUAUAACAGACCUGAGUAGUGAAUAGAGACUGCAAAGAAUGGGGCCAGGGCCACCAAAUAUUCUUCCCGGCCUUGGAGACCCCACCAUGCCAGGGCCUGGGCCGUUCAGUGCUUCACUGUUUACCAAGAUCCAGAGGAUGUGGCCCCUGCAGGGACAAUGAGGAAGAGCCAGUGAUUAGAAAGAAAAGAACUCCAGAUGGAGAGCUUCACGUUGUCGGCAGAUUUAGAAAAAGCCCCUGGAAUCCGCACGGGUGGUACAGCCGGGUGCAGACUGACAAGCGAGGAAUCUUCCAUCUCAUCGCCUCAAUUUCAGGCUUCAGAGAUGCCCGGCUCUGCUGUUCAAAGAGUUUUAUUAAAAAUUUGUGAGGAGGGAAAAGAAGUCUGUGCAGGCCUGUCUGGUGCCAUUACGUCUGACACAGCACACGGAGCCGCGGACCGCCCGGGACAGCCACCGCAGGGGGGUGCACAGCAGAGGCCAUGGGAGCCCCCGGGGAAUGGUCCCAGAUGCUCUAGUCUGGUGGGGUCCCUCCAGAAUCGUGAGUCUCCAUAUGUGACCCAGUGUAUACUUCCAGUCCUUAGACCACCAGCAUUCCAGUCAGAAGACAAACACCCACGGAUCCCAACGUUGAACUUGUCCCCUCGGUAUAACUUCUGCUACUGCUCCUCUCAUGAGCAAAACUCCCUUCUCUGAUCAUUUUCUCUGUAAACCUAGAUCGAGCGACACACUGCCAGCAGCUCCUCUGCAGCUAUGAAGUGUGGCAUGAAUCCAGCCUUCCCUGAAGCGGGGCGCUGCCACGCGGAUUGCAAUCUAGACAACGUCUGGAUCCCCCACAUUCUGGGCACAGACCUCACAAGACCCUUAAAGGCAGGGAUUCGCCUGACGGGCAGCCUGGCUGGUGUGCUCCAUAAGAAGGAGGGCUGGGUCCCCGGAAGGGAGUCAGUGCAGCCAGACAAGCUGCCUUAUCCCAUGCAGAUUUUUCUGGUUGCCAGGAGAGGUCUCCAGCCUGGAGUGGCCCUGCUGAAAGACACCCAGUGGAGCUCCGUGAAGGUUUGGGAUGAAUGAGGACGUGGGAGGGAGCGUACCGCGUAGCAGCAGCACAGAAGGAGCGUAGGUAGGCUGUAAACAGCCCCAGAUGGGCAUCUGGGUUCGGGCUCGGCUCAGCCUUUCUCAACCCGAGAUAAAGCUUGGGAUCAACUGAGAGCCUUUAAAAAAUAUUGAUGCCUGGGUACAACGUCCAGAACAAUUAAAAUAGGAUCAAAUUAGGAUCUCUGCCAUCGCCUAAAAGUCCUAGGACAAUGUGUAAGGUUAGAAAAAGUUUGGGAACAACGUAAGUGUGGAAAAUGCGAGGCUAAUGUGGAGGAUGAGUUUCACUGGUCACCCUGGCCGCCCAAUCACUCUUGGAGAGGUGGGAUGGCCAAAGAGGAAGGUGGAGCUAAGGUGACACAGGAGACGGAGGGCCACCUCCACUGCUCAGGCCCAGUGCUCUGGCCACUGCUCAAGGGCAGACUGAGGCCUGAGUCCAGAGCUGCCCCGGGGUCUUGGGGUCUUUGGAAAUGCGGACCAGUAGCCGGGGUGGAGAAUCUGACUCACUUAUCUAACCCACGGCCCCAAGCAUCUACCUUUGAUCCUUCUUUUUUUUUGAGGAAGAUUAGCCCUGAGAUAACUACUGCCAGUCCUCCUCUUUUUGCUGAGGAAGACUGGCCCUGAGCUAACAUCCGUGCCCAUCUUCCUCUACUUUAUAUGUGGGAAGCCUGACACAGCAUGGCUUUUGCCAAGUGGUGCCAUGUCCGCACCCGGGAUCCGAACCGGCAAACCCCGGGCUGCCGAGAAGCAGAAUGUGCCCACUUAACUGCUGCGCCACCAGGCCAGCCCCUAACUUUGAUCCUUUGUUAGGAUCGCACCAAAAGACACCAAAGACAAAAAGAUUCCUCCUUCCCUCUGUCAGAGCCCUUCCACCUUAUCUGCCUUGUCCCUGCUCAGCCUACUUCCCCUGCUCAGAGGGGAAAGGAGGGCAGCCCUGUUGUCUGGUAUGCUAGGAGGCCGUGUUACACUUGGCAAUGGUCCUGAUUUUUACUUGCAGCAUCACUGCCCCAUCCAGUGGGGUGGGGCAGCACGCUCCCUGUACCGCUGUAGAUGGUGACCCUGAGAAGGCCAAGACCAGACAGGCGUGCCACUGACACAGCAGUGCAAAUGACUGAAUACACACACACACACGCACACGCACAUGCACAGGGCAGUAAGCCACCAGCAGACAAAGAAAGGAAAAUACCAGCGAUAACAAAGCAGGAGAGUGACCCACGUUAACCCAGACAGUGCUCAAACGGCUCCACUAAACUGUGAUUUUCGUUGCUGCUUCUUAGCCCCAGAAAUUAUGCUUUCCUUUGAAGAGCUGAUGUAGCACUCUAAAUGAUACAUUCAGUACGAGAAGUCCGUGUUCUGUUUCCCCGCAGGAUGUAAUCGAGACUGGAUACAUGGCCUGGUGUCUAAUUCUCCAGUUACAUAAUUAGUAACUGCACAUCAGGCAAAAAAAAAAAAAAAAAAAAACCCAGCCCUGAGAGAGCAUCUCAGAGGAGGCACAGCUGAGGCGGUUCUCAAAUUCCUCAGUGCUCAGGCUUCUUAGCCCCCAGUCAUUAUUGUUUGUUGGUUUCUUCUUCUGUUGUCAUAGCCAUUAGUACUAUCACGAUGCGAUCACUGUUGAGAGAAUGUUGCUCUAGAAAUCUGAGGACUGGAGAGCAGGAGGGAGAAGGGUAUGGCCUUGGCAGCAUCUCAGAACCACAGUUCUGGAUCUCCCAGAAGCCUCCAGGGGGCGCCUUCCAGCUCGGAGUCUCCUGAGACCCCAAGCAUGUCACAAUGCACUCUUGGUGAACGCCCCCGCGGAGGGCAGGGCAGCCUAAAGGAGAGGAGUCACAGGGCCUUAGCCAGGAGGCUCCAGGUCUGUAAUGGGGUAAAUCGACUAGUUCCCUUUUCUUUUCCUUUCGGUUCUUCAGUGACAUAAUUAUUAUUUCUUAUCCACAGGCUCAAGAAUCUUCUCCCAGAACAUGUAAUCUUACAGUUCACUUAAUAGCGCAUACCUUAGGCCUCUCAUCUUCCUAAGAGGUUGGUUUCAGCUCACUCACCACGUGCGGAGACGCUCGAGGCCUGCUCCACGGCAGAUCAUACUUAGGGUCUGACUUGGGCAACAAACGCUGUCAGGGCCUUUUCAGAAUUGUAUUUCCUAACAGAGAGAAGUUCCUCCUUCGGUGAAAGGCAUCGCGGCAGAGCCAAUGGUUGAGGGGGACCCGUUGUUUUCUUAGGGGGCAUUUUAUCUCCUCUCUGGAAAGUAUCGCAGAGCUCCCCAUCAGAGUGAUCGUGCCUCCCCACCUCUCCUUCUCCCUCACCCCAGACACAGACACACACACGCACAUGCACACACACUUCCAAGCCCCUUCACUGACGGGGAUGUCCUUUUUCUUUAACAUACACAGAAGAUGAGAAUAGUGUCAACAUCCACUGACGUGUAUUUUAAAGUUUGAGGAGCGGCGUUGGCAGGGGCAACCACAGCCAACAGUCCACAUCGAGGGCGCACAGCUCUGCCUCCAAUGUGGGAAUCCAGGCCGCUUCAAAUAUUUCCCCAAUACCUCUUGGAGCCAAAUGUUCAGCCCCUGCACCUAAGGGGCAAACGCUGCAGCCCUCGCCUUGGGGAGCUGGUUUUAAAGGCCCUCCCCACUAGCCCCUUUACAAGAGAAGAUCAACCCUUCCCAGAUGUCUGGGUUACUUCUAGGUCAGGCUCUGAGAUUUGUGGCUGUGCACAGUCAAAGCUGACAUUCCGUUCCACCGUUGUGUCAUUGCGUGUAGUCCAGCACUAACGAUAAUUAACACCUAAUAGAACCAAACAAUGUACAAGUUGCUUUUACAUCCGUUGUGUCCAACGUAACACGAGCAACGGAUAAAUAUAAAAUUACAUGACUUUUAAGAGAUUAAAAUGGUCUGUCGAUGCUAAGGAAAAGGAUUAUCAAAAAACGAGGCAGCAGGUUCCAAAUGGAGUCAUUCACCCCGUGACAGCAAGCCAAGACUUAAUUGCAGUUUCCACCCCUCCCAGAAAUGUGACCUUGAAACAGUCAAUCUGAAGUUUCCUGAUCAGCACUAGGGAGGCCAUCUGCAGGGUAAAACCCCUGCUGUUUCCUUCUGCCCAGAAGAAGGUGUCGGCCUAAAUAGCCCUUUCUUCUCUUUUUCUAAUGACUUCCGUGCCCCACCCUCCUUCUUAUGAAAGCCUUCCAUGUUGUACUGCUCUCUACCUGCUGGAUGGGCUGCUGCCCGAUUCAUGAAUCACUUAAUAAAGCCAAUUAGAUCUUUAGAUUCACUCAGCUGAAUUUUGCUUUUUAACAAGAUGAUUGGAACUCUCCCUGGGUGGCAUCCAGUGAGCUGCACUUUCCAGAAGAAAUUUCCAAACGUCUGUACUUUAGACAACGUUCCUUCCAGAUUUUCCAAAACUGUUCCAAUUUCUGUUGAUAUGCCCUCUUGUUUCCACAAAUAUCCUCAUACUUGUCAUGCUGGGUAGCAGGUAAUUCUGGUCAGCAUAAUUAAAACUCACUACAAUUGUUGGUGCAUAUCCAGGCCUCAUAAACAUGGAAAGGUCCUAGGUCACCCUCAAUUUUUGAGGCUACA